rnacentral:rRNA from 1 species
ACGGGGUGCAGCAGGCGCGAAACCUCUACAAUGCGCGAAAGCGUGAUAGGGGGAUUCCAAGUGCAUGCCUUAGGUAUGCUUUUCUCAAGUCUAGAAAGCUUGGGGAAUAAGGGCUGGGCAAGACCCGUGCCAGCCGCCGCGGUAAUACGGGCAGCUCUAGUAGUGUUCACGUAUAUUGGGCCUAAAGCGUUCGUAGCCGGUCCUGCAAGUCCUUGGUGAAAUCUGGCAGCUUAACUGUUAGAAUGGCCAAGGAAACUGCUGGACUUGGAGUCGGGAAGGGUAAGAGGUAUCACCUGGGUAGGAGCAAAAUCCUGUGAUCCUUGUGAGACCAUCGGUGGCGAAGGCGUCUUACUGGAACGAACUCGACGGUGAGGAACGAAAGCUAGGGGAGCGACCCGGAUUAGAUACCCGGUUAGUCCUAGCCGUAAAUGAUGCAGGCUUGGUGUGGCAUGACUUACGAGGUCAUGCCGUGCCGUAGGGAAGCCGUUAAGCCUGCCGCCUGGAAGUACGUCGCAAGAC